CUACAAUGGUCGGAAGACUGAUAGUGCGACGCCGCGUGAACGAGGAAUCCCUUCGGGGUGUAAAGUUCUUUUAUAUGUGAGCAGUGGGUUCUACGUUAAUAGCGUGGGAUCAGGGAUAUUAGCAUAUGAAUAAGCAACGGCUAACUCCGUGCCAGCAGCCGCGGUAACACGGGGGUUGCGAGCGUUGUCCGGAAUUACUAGGCGUAAAGGGCAGGUAGGCGGAUCUAUAAGUUUUUUGUCAAAUUCAACGGCUCACCCGUUGCGAGGCAGGAGAUACUGUAGAUCUGGAAUGCGGUUGGGGAAGACAGAAUUCCUGGUGUAGCGGUGGAAUGCGCAGAGAUCAGGAGGAAUACCUAAGGCGAAGGCAGUCUUCUAAGCCGUAAUUGACGCUAAACUGCGAAGGUGUGGGUAUCAAAC
rnacentral:rRNA from 1 species